CCUACGGGUGGCAGCAGUGAGGAAUAUUGGUCAAUGGCCGGAAGGCUGAACCAGCCAUGCCGCGUGAAGGUCAGUGCCCUAUGGGCGUUAAACUUCUUUUGUGCGGGAGCAAUAAUGGUCACGUGUGGCCAGACGAGAGUACCGUACGAAUAAGCAUCGGCUAACUCCGUGCCAGCAGCCGCGGUAAUACGGGGGAUGCAAGCGUUAUCCGGAUUUAUUGGGUUUAAAGGGUGCGAAGGCUGUGAGGUAAGUCAGCGGUGAAAUGCCCCCGCUCAACGGGGUGAAGUGCCAUUGAUACUGCCUGGCUGGAAUGCGGAUGCGGUGGGAGGAAUGUGUGGUGUAGCGGUGAAAUGCAUAGAUAUCAGACAGAACACCGAUUGCGAAGGCAUCUCACGAAUCCGCGAUUGACGCUGAGGCACGAAAGCGUGGGUAUCAAACAGGAUUAGAUACCCGAGUAGUC
rnacentral:rRNA from 1 species